GACGAACGCUGGCGGCGUGCUUAACACAUGCAAGUCGAACGCUGAAGCACCAGCUUGCUGGUGUGGAUGAGUGGCGAACGGGUGAGUAAUACGUGAGUAACCUGCCCUUGACUCUGGGAUAAGCCCGGGAAACUGGGUCUAAUACUGGAUGCUACAUGUCACCGCAUGGUGGUGUGUGGAAAGGGUUUACUGGUCUUGGAUGGGCUCACGGCCUAUCAGCUUGUUGGUGAGGUAAUGGCUCACCAAGGCGACGACGGGUAGCCGGCCUGAGAGGGUGACCGGGCACACUGGGACUGAGACACGGCCCAGACUCCUACGGGAGGCAGCAGGGGGGAAGAUUGCACAAUGGGCGAAAGCCUGAUGCAGCGACGCCGCGGGAGGGAUGACGGGCUUCGGGUUGGAAACCUCUUUCAGCAGGGAAGAAGCCACAAGUGACGGUACCUGCAGAAGAAGCGCCGGCUAACUACGUG
rnacentral:rRNA from 1 species